CUUGGUUUCUAUUUUGUUGGUUUCUAGAAGCCGAGUAAUGAUUAAUAGGAACAGUUGGGGCCGUUCAUAUUUCGCUGUCAGAGGUGAAAUUCUUAGAUUGGCGGAGGAUGAACUAACGCGAAAGCAUUCGGCAAGGAUGUUUUCAUUAAUCAAGAACGAAAGUUAGGGGAUCGAAGACGAUCAGAUACCGUCGUAGUCUUAACCAUAAACUAUGCCGACUAGGGAUUGGGAGAAGUUCAAUUUUUUUACUAUGACUCCCUCAGCACCUUAUGAGAAAUCACAAGUUUUUGGGCUCCGGGGGGAGUAUGGUCGCAAGUCUGAAACUUAAAGGAAUUGACGGAAGGGCACCACCAGGAGUGGAGCCUGCGGCUUAAUUUGACUCAACACGGGGAAACUCACCAGGUCCGGACAGGCGAAGGAUUGACAGAUUGAGAGCUCUUUCUUGAUUGCUUGGGUGGUGGUGCAUGGCCGUUCUUAGUUCGUGGAGUGAUUUGUCUGGCUAAUUCCGAUAACGAACGAGACCUUAGCUUACUAAAUAGAUACGCCUGUUGCUUUUGUUGACAGUGCGGGUACGCUUCUUAGAGAGGACUUUCGGCGAUUAGCCGAAGGAAGUUUGAGGCAAUAACAGGUCUGUGAUGCCCUUAGAUGUUCUGGGCCGCACGCGCGCUACACUGACNAAUGCAACGAGUAUUGACCGUCCUUGGCCGAUGGGCCCGGGUAAUCUGCUAAAAUUUCGUCGUGC
rnacentral:rRNA from 1 species